UACGUAGGGUGCAAGCGUUGUCCGGAAUUAUUGGGCGUAAAGAGCUCGUAGGCGGCUUGUCGCGUCGGCUGUGAAAACCUAGGGCUCAACCCUGGGCCUGCAGCCGAUACGGGCAAGCUAGAAUUCGGUAGGGGAGACUGGAAUUCCUGGUGUAGCGGCGAAAUGCGCAGAUAUCAGGAGGAACACCGGUGGCGAAGGCGGGUCUCUGGGCCGAUAUUGACGCUGAGGAGCGAAAGCGUGGGGAGCGAACAGG
rnacentral:rRNA from 1 species